rnacentral:rRNA from 1 species
ACCGAAUAGAUACCCAGGUAGUCCACGCCGUAAACUAUGAACGCUAGCCGUUGGCGAGCUUGCUCGUCAGUGGCGCAGCUAACGCAUUAAGCGUUCCGCCUGGGGAGUACGGCCGCAAGGCUGAAACUCAAAGAAAUUGACGGGGGCCCGCACAAGCGGUGGAGCAUGUGGUUUAAUUCGACGCAACGCGCAGAACCUUACCAGGGUUUGACAUCCCGAGACCGCUGCUGAAAGGCAGUUUCCCGCAAGGGCUCGGAGACAGGUGCUGCAUGGCUGUCGUCAGCUCGUGUCGUGAGAUGUUGGGUUAAGUCCCGCAACGAGCGCAACCCUCGCCUUUAGUUGCCAUCAUUAAGUUGGGCACUCUAGAGGGACCGCCGGCGACAAGCCGGAGGAAGGUGGGGAUGACGUCAAGUCCUCAU